rnacentral:lncRNA from 1 species
UUUUCCUCAACCUGGGGUUCCCUCAAGUUUUCCCAUCGGAGUGAUCGGGAUCCCUUAAAGGGUGGUUGUGUUGCCAUCAUAGUUAACACUUCCCUCUCCUUUACAUCAGCUUCUUGAGUGUCUUUAGAAAUUGAUAGACUUAGAACUCUCUCCAAGGGAAAUUGUGGUUCACCUAAAGGAUUUUCUUGCAAAACCAUUUGAUCAAUCAC